rnacentral:lncRNA from 1 species
UUGAGAGGGACGCAAAUGCCCCCUGUAGUUUAUCAGUAACCCAGAGGAAUGUCAGAAGAGCUUCUCUGCAGAGCCAGUGAGCCCUAGAUACCAUGCCCACAAACAGCAACACAGCCAUGCCUUCUGCCUGCCAGCCGGAAGAGACAGUUCCUUCCAUCACUUAAAGGGAGCACCGAGGUAGUCUAAAGAGGAAGAGAGAAGCAAACGCCGCCUUCGGGAGGUGCCUGGGUCCUCUCUUACCCUUCCAGGCUGGCUCCAGGAAGAUUCCAGCUGCCUGCCUCUGAGUCCAGCACCCCUCCUCCCCUGCCCCCGGGAUCCACCUGUCAGCCUUCCCAUAGAGCCUCUGCAGGGGAUCAAAAAGCUCAGGCUGGCCUCGAACUUACCAUGAAGGUAAGGAUGA